rnacentral:rRNA from 1 species
UACAGAGGUCUCAAGCGUUGUUCGGAUUCAUUGGGCGUAAAGGGGUGCGUAGGCGGCGCGGUAAGUCGGGUGUGAAAUCUCGGAGCUUAACUCCGAAACUGCAUUCGAUACUACCGUGCUUGAGGACUGGAGAGGAGACUGGAAAUUUACGGUGUAGCGGUGAAAUGCGUAGAUAUCGUAAGGAAGACCAGUGGCGAAGGCGGGUCUCUGGACAGUUCCUGACGCUGAGGCACGAAGGUCAGGGGAGCAAACGGG